UAAUGAUGCAAGAUACUAACGUGAUUUGUUUUAUAUUUCUUGGCUCAAUAAACCUUUCACUCUUCUCAAUGCAUUGAGUAGUGAAAGGUCACAUUGGAAACCAUCUAUGCUACACUCUAUUUCUCACCUUUACUUCUUUUGAUUAUAUUCUGCUUCUUUUCAAUAAAAAUCUAAUCUUCUUUCAACCUCACUCUCUCAGUAUGUCUUAACUUCUAAACAAGUUCACCUUCAUCUCAGUAAAAAACUUUCUCUCUGAAAUCUUGACCUUCUAUGCUAACUAUCUCCAUUUGUCGUUGUCGAUGGUCCUAAAAGCUCUGCCACGAACCAUUUCUCCGGUGAGACUUCCUCAACCACGACGCCGAACUGCUCUAUGACGCCGUGAAGCACCUUUUAAUUCGUCAGAAACAUACGUUGUGUGCACCUAAAAUGCUUCAACAAACCUCGCCGGAAAAUAGUUCAGAUCUUAAAGAAAGCAACAAAGGAAGACAUCAAUUGAAGGAUUUUAAAGAGACAUGGAGUUGAUUUGACGAGAGAACAGUUAAUGGUUUUUCUUUAAAAAUUCUGCAACAUUGUAGCAUUGUAAUAUAUAACAAAUGAUUUAAUGAGAGAACAGUAAAUGUCAUUUGAACUGCUUCCUUCUA